GACGAACGCUGGCGGCGUGCCUAAUACAUGCAAGUCGAGCGAAUCUUGAGGUGCUUGCACCUCUUGGUUAGCGGCGGACGGGUGAGUAACACGUGGGCAACCUGCCUGUAAGACUGGGAUAACUUCGGGAAACCGGAGCUAAUACCGGAUAAUCCUUUUCCUCUCAUGAGGAAAAGCUGAAAGUCGGUUUACGCUGACACUUACAGAUGGGCCCGCGGCGCAUUAGCUAGUUGGUGAGGUAACGGCUCACCAAGGCGACGAUGCGUAGCCGACCUGAGAGGGUGAUCGGCCACACUGGGACUGAGACACGGCCCAGACUCCUACGGGAGGCAGCAGUAGGGAAUCUUCCGCAAUGGACGAAAGUCUGACGGAGCAACGCCGCGUGAGCGAUGAAGGCCUUCGGGUCGUAAAGCUCUGUUGUUAGGGAAGAACAAGUAUCGGAGUAACUGCCGGUACCUUGACGGUACCUAACCAGAAAGCCACGGCUAACUACGUGCCAGCCGCCGCAGUAAGAC
rnacentral:rRNA from 1 species